UACGUAGGGGGCUAGCGUUGUCCGGAAUCAUUGGGCGUAAAGCGCGCGUAGGCGGCCCUGUUAGUCCGCUGUAAAAGUCAAAGGCUCAACCUUUGAAUGCCGGUGGAUACUGCAGGGCUAGAGUCCGGAAGAGGCGAGUGGAACUCCUGGUGUAGCGGUGGAAUGCGCAGAUAUCAGGAAGAACACCGGUGGCGAAGGCGGAUCUCUGGGCCUUACCUGACGCUCAGGCGCGAAAGCUAGGGGAGCGAACAGG
rnacentral:rRNA from 1 species